AUACGGAGGGUGCAAGCGUUAAUCGGAAUUACUGGGCGUAAAGGGUACGUAGGCGGUUAAAUAAGUUGGAUGUGAAAGCCCCGGGCUCAACCUGGGAACUGCAUUCAAAACUGUUUGACUAGAGUGUAUGAGAGGUUGGCGGAAUUCCAGGUGUGGCAGUGAAAUGCGUAGAUAUCUGGAGGAACAUCAGUGGCGAAGGCGGCCAACUGGCAUAACACUGACGCUGAGGUACGAAAGCGUGGGGAGCGAACGGGAUUAGAUACCCUAGUAGUCC
rnacentral:rRNA from 1 species